UUAAAGUACAUUUUCCCCUGUCUAACUUGAUGUAACAUAUUUGUUGCAGAUUGGGGUUUUUCUUGAUAGGAGGGUUUUGUUCUACAUUCUUCCAAUUUUCUCAUUUGUUUUACUUUACUCCAAUCUUCCACAUAAGGUUGAUUAUGGCGAAUGUUUCUGAGUUUACAAUAAUCCAAAUAUCACCAUGCACUUCAAUACAGAGACUCUGGAUAUUGUUAGCAAUACGAAAGGGCAAAUGUCUGGCAUUUUGGUUAGAAAAGUUGACACUAGGGACGAGUUUGUGCUUGAGGCAAAAGGCUUAUUCUAUGGGAUAGGUCAUUCACCAAAUAGCAAAUUUUUGGAAGGCCAAAUUGAACUUGACAGCUAAGGUUAUGUAUUGGUGGAGGAGGGUACUGCAAAAACUUCUAUUGAAGGUGUAUUUGCUGCCGGAGAUGUACAGGAUCAUGAAUGGAGGCAAGACAUAACUGCAGCAGGUUUAGGAUGCAUUGCUGCUUUAUCAGUUGAGAGAUAUCUUGCGACCAAUAAUCUCCUUGUUGAAUUUCACCAGGUA